rnacentral:rRNA from 1 species
GUGCCAGCAGCCGCGGUAAUACGUAGGGUGCGAGCGUUGUCCGGAAUUACUGGGCGUAAAGGGCUCGUAGGUGGUUUGUCGCGUCGUCUGUGAAAUUCCGGGGCUUAACUCCGGGCGUGCAGGCGAUACGGGCAUAACUUGAGUACUGUAGGGGUAACUGGAAUUCCUGGUGUAGCGGUGAAAUGCGCAGAUAUCAGGAGGAACACCGAUGGCGAAGGCAGGUUACUGGGCAGUUACUGACGCUGAGGAGCGAAAGCAUGGGUAGCGAACAGGAUUAGAUACCCUGGUAGUCCAUGCCGUAAACGGUGGGCGCUAGGUGUGAGGGUCUUUUCACGACUUUCGUGCCGUAGCUAACGCAUUAAGCGCCCCGCCUGGGGAGUACGGCCGCAAGGCUAAAACUCAAAGGAAUUGACGGGGGCCCGCACAAGCGGCGGAGCAUGUGGAUUAAUUCGAUGCAACGCGAAGAACCUUACCUGGGCUUGACAUACACCAGAUAGGGCCAGAGAUGGUCUUCCCCUUUGUGGUUGGUGUACAGGUGGUGCAUGGUUGUCGUCAGCUCGUGUCGUGAGAUGUUGGGUUAAGUCCCGCAACGAGCGCAACCCUUGUCUUAUGUUACCAGCACGUUAUGGUGGGGACUCGUGAGAGACUGCCGGGGUUAACUCGGAGGAAGGUGGGGAUGACGUCAAAUCAUCAUGCCCCUUAUGUCCAGGGCUUCACACAUGCUACAAUGGUCGGUACAACGCGUCUGCGAGCCUGUGAGGGUGAGCUAAUCGCUGUAAAGCCGGUCGUAGUUCGGAUUGGGGUCUGCAACUCGACCCCAUGAAGUCGGAGUCGCUAGUAAUCGCAGAUCAGCAACGCUGCGGUGAAUACGUUCCCGGGCCUUGUACACACCGCCCGUCACGUCAUGAAAGUUGGUAACACCCGAAGCCAGUGGCCUGUCAUGGGAGCUGUCGAAGGUGGGAUCGGCGAUUGGGACGAAGUCGUAACAAGGUA